CCUACGGGCGGCAGCAGUGGGGGAUAUUGCACAAUGGGGGGAACCCUGAUGCAGCGACGCCGCGUGGGUGAAGAAGCGCCUCGGCGCGUAAAGCCCUGUCAGCAGGGAAGAAAAUGACGGUACCUGAAGAAGAAGCCCCGGCUAACUACGUGCCAGCAGCCGCGGUAAUACGUAGGGGGCAAGCGUUAUCCGGAUUUACUGGGUGUAAAGGGGGCGCAGACGGCGAUGCCAGCCAGGAGUGAAAGCCGGGGGCCCAACCCCGGGACUGCGCUUGGAACUGCGUGGCUGGAGUGCAGGAGGGGCAGGCGGAAUGCCUGGUGUAGCGGUGAAAUGCGUAGAUAUCAGGAGGAACACCGGUGGCGAAGGUGGCCUGCUGGACUGCAACUGACGUUGAGGCCCGAAAGCGUGGGGAGCAAACAGGAUUAGAUACCCUUGUAGUC
rnacentral:rRNA from 1 species